CCAAUAGCGUAUAUUAAAGUUGUUGCAGUUAAAAAGCUCGUAGUUGAAUUUCGGGGUCUAUCCGUUGGUCGGGCUUUUGGGUCCGUACUGGCGUUAUGGAUUCCUACCUUCUGAAUAACCAGCAUGCCAUUAAUUUGGUGCGCCGGGGAAGCAGGACUGUUACCUUGAAAAAAUUAGAGUGCUUAAAGCAGGCUAUGGCCUGAAUACAUUAGCAUGGAAUAAUGAAAUAGGACGGCUUGGUUCUAUUUUGUUGGUUUCUAGGAUCACCGUAAUGAUUAAUAGGGAUAGUUGGGGGCAUUAGGAUUCAAUUGUCAGAGGUGAAAUUCUUGGAUUUAUUGAAGACUAACUUCUGCGAAAGCAUUUGCCAAGGAUGUUUUCAUUAAUCAAGAACGAAAGUUAGGGGAUCGAAGACGAUCAGAUACCGUCGUAGUCUUAACCAUAAACUAUGCCGACUAGGGAUCGGACGAUGUUAAUUUUUUAAUGACUCGUUCGGCGCCUUACG
rnacentral:rRNA from 1 species